AUACGGAGGGUGCAAACGUUGCUCGGAAUUACUGGGCGUAAAGCGCAUGUAGGCGGACUAAUAAGUCACGUGUGAAAGCCCUGGGCUCAACCCAGGAAGUGCACGGGAAACUGCUAGUCUAGAGUAUGGUAGGAGUGGGCGGAAUUCCCGGUGUAGAGGUGAAAUUCGUAGAUAUCGGGAGGAACACCAGUGGCGAAGGCGGCCACCUGGACGAUGACUGACGCUCAGACCCGAAAGCGUGGGGAGCAAACAGGAUUAGAUACCCCAGUAGUCC
rnacentral:rRNA from 1 species